AGAGUUUGAUCAUGGCUCAGGACGAACGCUGGCGGCGUGCUUAACACAUGCAAGUCGAACGAGAUCCAAUCAGUAGCAAUACUGAUGAAGAUCUAGUGGCGAACGGGUGCGUAACACGUGAGGAACUUGUCCCGGUCUCUGGGAUAACAGUUGGAAACGACUGCUAAUACCGGAUGACGUCGGAACUUCGCAUGGAGUACUGACGAAAGGGCUACUGGAUCGGGAGAGCCUCGCGGCCUAUCAGCUUGUUGGUGGGGUAAUGGCCUACCAAGGCAUCGACGGGUAGCUGGUCUGAGAGGAUGAUCAGCCACACUGGGACUGAGACACGGCCCAGACUCCUACGGGAGGCAGCAGUGGGGAAUCUUGCACAAUGGGCGAAAGCCUGAUGCAGCAACGCCGCGUGCGGGAAGAAGGCCCUCGGGUUGUAAACCGCUUUCAGAAGGAACGAAACUGACGGUACUUUCAGAAGAAGGUGCGGCCAACUACGUGCCAGCAGCCGCGGUGACACGUAGGCACCAAGCGUUGUCCGGAUUUAUUGGGCGUAAAGAGCUCGUAGGCGGUUCAGUAAGUCGGGUGUGAAAACUUUGGGCUUAACCCAAAGCGUGCAUCCGAUACUGCUGUGACUUGAGUACGGUAGGGGAGCGGGGAAUUCCUAGUGUAGCGGUGAAAUGCGCAGAUAUUAGGAGGAACACCGGUGGCGAAGGNNCCGCUCUGGGCCGAAACUGACGCUGAGGAGCGAAAGCAUGGGCAGCAAACAGGAUUAGAUACCCUAGUAGUCC
rnacentral:rRNA from 1 species